CAAAGCACUUUGAAGAGAGAGUUAAAGAGGACGUGAAACUGGCACGAUGGAAACGGAUAGAGCCAGCGAAUUUGUUCGUACUCAGCCGAAGGCCCUGCGUUCGGUUCUGUUGUGUUUCCGACUCUGAGCACACAGGGCUGUUGUCAAGGGGUCGAGGUGCAUUUGCGGACGAUUGCGCUGAGGCUUGCGGAGCAGCGGUUGGACCCGGUUCAUGCGGCUUCCCUCUGGGUUGUACCCUGGAUCGGUAGACAGCUGUUUGUUCUGCUCGUACUGGUGGUUCGGGUAACGGGCGAAGUUGUCGCUGGGCAGUUUGGGCGAUGGCAAUAGCAAGCUUUGCCUAGCUUGAGCGUCUCGGCUGGCGGCGGAGCUCUCGGACCGGCUCUCGGUGUAAAAGCUGUCCAUCUAUCCGACCCGUCUUGAAACACGGACCAAGGAGUUUAGCGUAUGUGCGAGCCACUGGGUGUUGAAAACCUAUGGGCGCAAUGAAAGUGAAGGCUCGGCAGCCGAGCUGACAUGCGGCCGCUCUGGCUUCGGCCUGGGCGGGCAGCAUGGUCCCGUUUCGGUCGCUUGCGACGAAGCGGAGACAGAGUGCAUGCGCUGAGACCCGAAAGAUGGUGAACUAUUCCUGAGCAGGACGAAGCCAGAGG
rnacentral:rRNA from 1 species